rnacentral:rRNA from 1 species
GAUGAACGCUGGCGGCGUGCCUAAUACAUGCAAGUCGAGCGAACAGACGAGGAGCUUGCUCCUCUGACGUUAGCGGCGGACGGGUGAGUAACACGUGGAUAACCUACCUAUAAGACUGGGAUAACUUCGGGAAACCGGAGCUAAUACCGGAUAAUAUAUUGAACCGCAUGGUUCAAUAGUGAAAGACGGUUUUGCUGGCACUUAUAGAUGGAUCCGCGCCGCAUUAGCUAGUUGGUAAGGUAACGGCUUACCAAGGCAAAGAUGCGUAGCCGACCUGAGAGGGUGAUCGGCCACACUGGAACUGAGACACGGUCCAGACUCCUACGGGAGGCAGCAGUAGGGAAUCUUCCGCAAUGGGCGAAAGCCUGACGGAGCAACGCCGCGUGAGUGAUGAAGGUCUUCGGAUCGUAAAACUCUGUUAUUAGGGAAGAACAAAUGUGUAAGUAACUAUGCACGUCUUGACGGUACCUAAUCAGAAAGCCACGGCUAACUACGUG